GUCUACAAAAAGAGAGAUCGUCUCCUCAACAUCAGGGAAAAUCGGAGAAAGGAGAGUCAAGAGUCCAAGGGGAUUAAGGGCGGAGAUGUUGAGGACAACAACAAUCCAAACACCAUCCCCUUUGAUGGAAA
rnacentral:ribozyme from 1 species